rnacentral:rRNA from 1 species
UACGAAGGGGGGCUAGCGUUGUUCGGAUUUACUGGGCGUAAAGCGCACGUAGGCGGAUCGUUAAGUCGGGGGUGAAAUCCUGGAGCUCAACUCCAGAACUGCCUUCGAUACUGGCGAUCUUGAGUCCGGAAGAGGUGAGUGGAACUCCUAGUGUAGAGGUGGAAUUCGUAGAUAUUAGGAAGAACACCAGUGGCGAAGGCGGCUCACUGGUACGGUACUGACGCUGAGGUGCGAAAGGCGUGGGGAGCAAACAGG